UAGCAGCAGUAGACUAAAGCUUUCUCCUGA
rnacentral:piRNA from 1 species